rnacentral:rRNA from 1 species
GACGAACGCUGGCGGCGUGCUUAACACAUGCAAGUCGAGCGGAAAGGCCCACUUGUGGGUACUCGAGCGGCGAACGGGUGAGUAACACGUGAGUAAUCUGCCCUUCACUCUGGGAUAACGUUCAGAAAUGGGUGCUAAUACCGGAUGUACACAUGGUCUCGCAUGGGGUUGUGUGGAAAGGUUUUUCUGGUGGGGGAUGU